AUUGAACGCUGGCGGCAGGCCUAACACAUGCAAGUCGAGCGAGCGGCGGACGGGUGAGAAAUGUAUGGGGACUGCCCGCUAGAGGGGGAUAACUACUGGAAACGGUGGCUAAUACCGCAUACUAUAGGAGAACGCACAUGGGAUUAGCUAGUAGGUGGGGUAAUGGCUCACAUAGGCGACGAUCCCUAGAUGUUCUGAGAGAAUGAUCAGCCACACUGGGACUGAGACACGGCCCAGACUCCUACGGAGGCAGCAGUGGGGAAUAUUGCACAAUGGGCGCAAGCCUGAUGCAGCCAUGCCGCGUGUAUGAAGAAGGCCCUAGGGUUGUAAAGUACUUUCAGUCGGGAGGCGUUACCCACAGAAGAAGCACCGGCUAACUCCGUGCCAGCAGCCGCGGUAAUAC
rnacentral:rRNA from 1 species